CUACGUGCCAGCAGCCGCGGUAAUACGGAGGAUGCGAGCGUUAUCCGGAUUUAUUGGGUUUAAAGGGUGCGUAGGCGGCCUGUUAAGUCAGCGGUGAAAUCUAGGAGCUUAACUCCUAAAUUGCCAUUGAUACUGGCGGGCUUGAGUGUAGAUGAGGUAGGCGGAAUGCGUGGUGUAGCGGUGGAAUGCAUAGAUAUCACGCAGAACUCCGAUUGCGUAGGCAGCUUACUAAGGUACAACUGACGCUGAAGCACGAAAGCGUGGGUAUCAAACAGGAUUAGAUACCCUGGUAGUCCACGCAGUAAACGAUGAUAACUGGGCGUAUGCGAUAUACAGUAUGCUCCUAAGCGAAAGCGUUAAGUUAUCCACCUGGGGAGUACGCCGGCAACGGUGAAACUCAAAGGAAUUGACGGGGGCCCGCACAAGCGGAGGAACAUGUGGUUUAAUUCGAUGAUACGCGAGGAACCUUACCCGGGAU
rnacentral:rRNA from 1 species